rnacentral:rRNA from 1 species
GAUGAACGCUGGCGGCGUGCUUAACACAUGCAAGUCGAACGGGAUCCCGGGGGUUCGCUCCCGGGUGAGAGUGGCGAACGGGUGAGUAAUGCGUGACCGACCUGCCCCAUACACCGGAAUAGCUCCUGGAAACGGGUGGUAAUGCCGGAUGCUCCGGUUGGAUGCAUGUCCUUCCGGGAAAGAUUCCAUCGGUAUGGGAUGGGGUCGCGUCCUAUCAGCUUGAUGGCGGGGUAACGGCCCACCAUGGCUUCGACGGGUAGCCGGCCUGAGAGGGCGACCGGCCACAUUGGGACUGAGAUACGGCCCAGACUCCUACGGGAGGCAGCAGUGGGGAAUAUUGCACAAUGGGCGCAAGCCUGAUGCAGCGACGCCGCGUGCGGGAUGGAGGCCUUCGGGUUGUAAACCGCUUUUGAUCGGGAGCAAGCCCUUCGGGGUGAGUGUACCUUUCGAAUAAGCACCGGC